CUCACGGAAUCCCUCCAGAGCGGGCUCGGUCCCCGGCGUGCCGCCACCCGACAGCUUCGAUUAUAAGUGCAGCCAACGCCAAGUACUCGAGAGACACACCGAGGGCUUACUUCAGAGCUGCCCAAGCUUGGGUGCUCUGUGGUAGUACCGCAAAUCAAAGCACUACCAGCAGACUUUUCAUGCCAUUAUUUAUACACGGGAAUUCAGAAUCUGGAAGAAGAACUCCCAACUAUAAUGUUGAGGAUAGUUUCUCAGAUGAAAUCCUGAACUCCAUUUGUGACCUCUUUUAUAAUUGGAAGCUCCCAACACAUUUCCCAUCUGAUGUGGAAGCUGCUUGUCUGUGUGGGAGUGGGCAGUUCAGCAUCUUGCCCGUGGCAGAGUGCAAGGAUUAGAGCACGUGGAAGGAGUGGGUGCAUGGCUCUGACAGAAUAUUCCAGAGAAUAGGCCAGGGAAUCAUGGUACCCAGCUGGAGAUGCUGUUGAAGAAAUCCCAUGGUGCUUCUGUGACAGUCUCAGUGUACACUUAUUCAUAAGGUACUUUUUUUCCUUGGAAAUCUGACUUUUCAUUUUAAAGCUUUAUGUUUUAUGUAAUCCCACUGUUACUACUGCAAUUAUAUAUGUGUAUAAUACAUAUACAUAUUUUAUAUAUGUAUGUAUAUCUCCAUCAUGCUGGGUUCAGUUGGUCUUGCAGAGUUUGCAUUGAACAGAAGGAAUUAAAAACCCUUUCUGCCCUAAAUGAAAUAAAAAACAAAAGGGAGAGCUAAAAACCAGGAGUUAAGAUGCUCUUGUUGUCUUUGAGAAAACCAUUAGCACUAAUGUACACUUAUUUUAUUCAUAUACCACAACUGAUACUGAGAAAAUUUUCUAAGGAUUUAUUCCCAGGAAGCGUAAACAUCAUCUUUUGUUCUGCUAAAAUACUGUCUUGCCCCAGUUUUGAAGCUGGGAGCUCCCUCCUCCAGGUUUGCAUCAUCAGUGGACACCCAAAUGUUAAGGGGAUUUCAGAAGUGAGUCAGACACACUGACUGAAAAUGUUUCAGGGACUCAGGAACCAAAGAAAGCUGAAGAUGGUGGUUGUUAUAAAGCUCAAACAUUUAAAUAGUUCCCCAAAACUGUUUUAACAAGCUUAAUAGAUAAACAGCUAUUAAAUACAAUCUCUCUUCACAUUAGAACAUUAAUGAGGACAUUUAAAUUUAUUUUUUUUAACUGACUCACUAGAAACAGAACUACUGUACCUGAUUCACAUUUUAUUUCAUAUUUUUUAGUGCAGUUGCAAUUCACUGCAGAUGUUUUUGGCACCAGGUCAGAAAAUCAGAUCAGUCUCUUGGCAGUGUUUCUGCCUGUCGUGUUCCUUGUCCAUGGUCAGUGUCAUGUCACCCAGCACUUGGAUAACUCCUACAAACAGAAAGCACUGCCAGAUCAUUAACAGAGAUUUGAGACAUCAUUUUUAUACUCAUUUCUUAUUCAAAGGUGAUUAUGGGGCUCUUUGCUGAACCUUUAAUACAUGCCAGUAACUGGUCUUUAUAGCACAGUUAUUCGCCAGUAUUGGCAGAGCAGGAUUCCGGUUUAUGUAAGGCACUGAUUUUGAGUAGGCCACACUUGAUAUUUUUGCCCCAUUUUAAGGUGAGCACUUUCUCUUGAGUAGCUUUCAGCAAUGAAAUAGGGAACAGGACUCUUUAUGUAAGCCACAGAUAGCCUCUUUUCUCCAAACAACUUAUACAACGAUGUGCUAAAGGGGUAAAAAUAACAAUCAAACCUCAGGGCUGUUAAAUAAUAGCCUGAGACUGAGCAGUUAAAGUGUCUUUAUUAUUCCUCCUUUUUUUCCUCCAAAGCAUGGCAUGUCUUAGCUGUUUACCAGGACGUGGGAGAUGCUGUCCUGAAGAUAUGGAUUUCUUUGUGUAUUUGCUGGGUCCAAACUGGCCCCACACACACCUCACUCAUGAGAUCUGGGAGAGGGAACAUUAGGAGUCAUUCUCCAUUAUUAGGGUGCCUUGUGUUACUGCUCACAAAAUCAUCCCUAGGUGACUGCUCAGGGUGAGCCAGAGAACUUUUUUCUGCUGAAACUUAAUAGUAGGAAACUGAAGUGACUCAGGUUUGUAAGUACAAACAGAGAUUUUUUUCAUAACCUUCUCUCCCAGAACACAAAUGUUUAUGGUUUCCCCUCAGACCGUGGUCUCACAUGGCUGAAACUACAGAAUCAAGUGUGGCUUUGUGGAGGACAUGCGAUAAAGUUAGCUAGUUACAAGAAUUAAUUUUUUUUUUUUAAAUAUAUUUCAGUCUGUUAUUUGUAUUUUAUUCUGCUUGAAGGUCACUGGAUUAUUGUUAAGAUUGCUUACCACAAGCAAUUUCCUGGCUUUGCUACAAGUUCUGUGUCUAUGUAUGGGUAAAAUCUGCUGUCACUUUAAAGCAAAAGUUCUUCUCCAAAUUAGAGUGUCUUUUGCUUCAAAAAUUAUAUAAAUAGCAUAAUCAUACUGUCAUUGGCCAGUAGUAAAAAUAAACUCUUUAAACUAUUUUUGCUCAAUAAUUACUAUGGAAGCCCCUUAAAGAAGCAAAAACAGCACACAGAAAACAAGCAAAAAAACAAACCAAAACAGGCCUCACUAGCAAUGAACUGUGCUGUGUUGGCACAAUAGCAGGAGCAUGGAUUAUAUUCUGCAGUAUCCAGCUGGAUUGUGACAGGGAUAUACUCUGGCCUUGGACAUCUGGGAAUCAUGGACAAAUUCCUUGCAUGAUGAAACAAGCUUAACUUGAGAAGAGCAUCUGAAUCUUACUUGCUACCCCUCUCUUAUCUCAGUAUUGGAGCCAGCAGGAUGGUAAUUUAGUGUGCGAUUUUUUAUCAAAAUCAAAGGCAGUCAAAAAGAUUAACGCUUUCCAAAGUGCCUGCUUCAUGUUGGAGUCCAGGCUGGCGAGGUUUUUGCCCACAAAAUAAUUCACUUGCUUGUAAGUCUCUUAACCCAAAGUCUUUCGAGUUGAUGGUGCUACUUCUGUUUUAAAAACGAAAUAAUCUUCAGUUUUGAAAUAACCUUUUUGUUCCUGGCAGAAACUGGUAGUUUCUGAGUGCCUAAUGAGAGCCUAAAAGUGGCAUUUAAAUCAAUUGUACAUUUUGCAGAGUUUCCUUGAGGCAUUAGUUUGAUUGUGGUUAUUAAAAACCAAGUAAUAUUGUCCUGUUUAACAGCAGCAGUGCCAUGCAAGUUUCUCACCAGGGUUUGAAGCCAAAAGGCCUCCUCUCCACACGCUGCUUUUCAACCAGCUGAGUUGUAUACAUAGUGAAAUCUUAUUGUCUCAUUUGUAAGGAACACCAAAGCAUGGCAUCAGCAACCAGUUUGCUUUGAAGACCAUCUUUGUUCCUGGUUUCUUUGGGCUUUAGAUAGGUAUCUUUUGCUGACGUCAGUGGGAGCUGGAGACCUCAAAGAAAGCCUGCUGGACUGAAGAUCUAGAUGCAGUUUCUCUUUCAAGAUGUGGAGCAGGGGCUGUGGUUACACUUUUACACAACAGCUUCAAGGGCUCAGCGUUCACUCUGCUGACAAGCUGCCCUCUCAUUAUUCAGUUCCAAGGCCUUGUAGAGACAAGGGCAAAGGUUUUGUCUUUGGAGCAGGGAGGAUGGGCAGAGGCACCUGGAAGGGAAGGAGCUGCUGCCAGUGGAAGUGAACUGCCUGGGGACAGCAUGGAGAGUCAGCACAUAUUCCUGGAGGAGGGAGAAGCCGCAGCAGAUGGUGUCUCACUAGAAACAGAUUAAAGCAGCUGGUAUGGAAACAAGAUGUGCCACCAAGGGUUGGUUCAGAUCUGAAACAAGCUGUUCCUAGCAGAGCUGGGGCUUGGUUGGAAAGGAGAAACCUAUGCUUGUUUCCUCCUCAACACGAAGAGAUUGAAUCCUGUGUGCCCCAUCUCCCCCAGGAACAGGGACCUCCAAGGCCUCAGAUAACCUGAGGAGUGGCAUUGGGAGGAGCAGGAGGUGGUGGGAUGAACUCCCUCUCUCGGAGAGAUUAAUUUCCUCUCACACCCACUGCAACAGUGAUGAAGUGAUGAAGUGUCCAAACCCUGGUGCCAGUUCAGUGUGUGACACACACCAAUUUGCCCUUCAGCUGUCCCUAUAUUAAUGCACCUGGAACCUGGUGGAUUUUAGGAACAGGCAUUCCACGCUGCAGAGCCUGGCACAGCUGAAACCAGCAUGACUCACAGGCUGGACUUUAAAACCCACUUUCACCUGUGAAAUUCAGUUAUGGGACAGGCAUUUUAGUACCUCUCUGAUAUUUACAAUUUAUUUGUGUGAUGAAUCACAUUACUUUAGAGAAAUGGAAUCUCAGAACCAUGAAGGUUGGAAAAAACCUCCAAGAUUGUUGGGUCUAAGUUGUGACUGAUCCCCACCUUGUUGCCCAACCCAGAGCACUGAGUGCCACAUCCUGUCUUUCCUUAAAAACCUCCAGGGAUGGAGACUCCAAACCUCCCUGGGCAGCCCUUCCAAACUGCAAACACAUCCUUGCCUAGUCCAGAGCUGCAUGCCACUAUUGUCCUCACUCCCAAGACAGACAGUUUUGGAUACUCAUCCCUUAGGAAGAUUGUCAGAAAAAAACCUUUUUUUGCCUAAAGCAUUAUGGUUUUGCUUAGGUACCAGGCAUACUUCAUACAAGAACAAAGGAGUGAAAAACGUAGAUAUUUGCAGUGUGUCUUAUAAACCCUAAACUAAGAUAAGAGUUAAAAAGUGGCUUAAUCAUGCUGAAGGCAUAGCCUUUGUAUUUGCCAUUCAAGUGCUUUUUCUGAGGAAUAACUGAUUUGAUAAUGCAAGGAGGUAAAGAACUAAAUCUGUAUUUCCUUAUAAUGUGUAGCUCUGCCAUACAAUCAUAUACAGUCAAGGGAAGAAAAGGAUGAUCACAUUAAAUAGAAUUUGCAAAAUUCUGUUGUAUUUUUACCUUUACUGAGAGCAGCAAUUCUGGAGUGGAGGGAAGGAGGCCUCCUGUUCUUCUCAGGAGCGCUCCAGACAAGGCCAGGCAGUGUCUGCUCAUUUCUCUUGGCUUUCAGCUGCUCCACUCUGAUCAUUGUGUAAUACAACUUUCACUGCUUCUGCUGCUGCUCUGAACUUGGCAGGGAAAGUGGAACAGUAGGACAGAAAGGUUUCUAUAAUAGAUGAAAGGACACAACUGCCCCUGGAAGCCUUUCCUGGAUAAAUGACAGCCUAUGGGAGAGGUAAGACUCUGGAGAAGAUCAGUAACCGUUUGAGAGGUAGCUUCUUCAUGUGACUGCAGGUGGGAUAAAUCAAACAGUGUUUGCUUUCUCUGCUUUCUGAUUGAGUGUAACAACAGUGGGAUGUUUCAUUGUCCGUGGAAUUCAAGAUGAGAAUCCACAAAAUAGGACCUCAAGUCCUUAGAUGUCUCCCAUUCUGGAAGAGAAAUCCAGUACACCGAGGUGAAAGAAAUGAAAACUGCAACUUUACAAAAAGAAUGCUACAUUUAUUUUCAAAUGCUGUAAAAAGCCUCAUAUAAAUUUUUAUAAUGCUUCUAUGUAACUUUCCCAACCACAACUAAUGAAACAGUCUAGGAAAAAUAUAGCAGUUACCAUUUUGACUCCAAGAACGAGCUGCUGUGAGAUCCAACAGUAAAAGGACAAGGUACGGUGUGUUACAACGCUUGUAAUUGCUCGUGUUAUGGAGAAAGUGAGAGCACUUCCUAAGCAUCACCUGGGCUAGACUGCAGCAUUCCCUGCUUGCUGGGCAAGGAAUGUCACCAGGGGAAGGAGCUGACAGCAGAGCUGGGUGCUGUUCCUGGUGCCCAUUCCUGGUGCCCCGGCUGAACUCCCCCCAGCAGGUGCCCUUAUCCCAGGCUGUCUCCAACGGCUCAGGUGAGGAACAAUUGACCUAUAAAAAUAACACUUCUUUAACUCUCCAGCAAGGCAAAUUGAACAGUGCAAAUUCAGUAUCAACAUGAUUUGAUUUCUGAAUACUGGCAAUUUUGUUUUUAACUCCUUUUGCACAUGAAACAACCUCUGCUGAUGUCCUGUACCUAAGGCCACUCACUCAUGCUGACUGGAGAUGGAACAAAGUGCAAAAGCUCAGCUGCAGUUCCCAAUCCAAGCCUCCUCCCCACUUUCAGGGAAUUCUGAUCCAGAAUUUGGAUUCAGGCUCUCCACUUCCAUCGAUGCACUCAAGUUUUCCCUGCUGGAAUAGGUAAAUGUCCCAGCAAACCUGUGAUAACAAUUUGCAUACACAAUUUCACGUUUUAACAAAAGUUUAACAAAACAUACUUCCAGAAAAUAAAUUUUCACAUGGUUGCAAUCAUCAAGCCAUUUCAGGAUCUUUGGUACUCCAAGAAUAAGAAAACUAAAUGGCACAGUGACAAACAUUGCCAAAGGAAAACACACAACCAUCCAAAGGAAUCGGACAGAAAUAACAAAAUUAAAGAUAUGUUACACUUCCAUUUUUUGUUUUUGAAAGCCAGUGUAGAUUAACCUGCUGUUCUCUUUAACCCAUUACAGUGUCACAGUUUCACCUUGAAAAUAAAACCCUAUCAUCCUAAAAGCAGUAGUUAAUAUUGUUUAACUUGACUUAUUGAUUAAAAUAAUGCUAUGUUUACAAAAAAAAUUUUAAAAGUCAACUACCACAAUACAGGAGUUUAUGCUAGAUAGGCUGCAGGCUGUUUCCUUAUGGAUAUAACUCCUAUUUGAGCACUGAUAUGAUUAAUCAUCUGCAGUUUUAAAUUAGUAUUAUCUUUAGUGUUGCAAGUAGAAGGGUUGAGCUUUUUCCCGAGUUUGUAAACCAGUGAGUAUGUACAGACAUAGUUGUUUAAUAGAUAGCUUUAAAUUAAGUGUGUGUUUCUCUGCCCUCCCCUAAGCCCCACAGGAAAAAAUAAAUCACCAGUAUCACUGAGCAUUUGCAGUUUCCAUGAAACUGAGCUUGUCUCAACAAGUUUGAGCAAAGACUUCUUUGUAGGUCAUGUUAAUGGGGUUUCUGUGCUCUUCUGAAAGGUGGUGUUUGCAGGAAUUCCAAUUCCAGUGCACACAGUGCCCCAUGGAUGAGACUGGAAAUUAAAACCAAUGAAAAUAGUUUUGAAUAGCAGUGUCCUUUGGUACCAAGUUUGCAACUCAGGAUUUUUUUUCUGUCUGACCUUCCCUAUUUUGGAGUCAAGACCUUAGGAAAGACAUUUCCUUUCCUGAGAAGCCUCAGGAGCUGUUGGGGCACAAGCAGAACAAUGCUUGAAAGGUGGAUUAAAGUGAGUUACUGUUUUUGUACAGCCUUUGGAUGGCCACAGGUUGAGCCUCAGCACACUGACAAGGCUAAGAACAACUGGAGAAUUUUUAAGGACCUUGCCCCAGCAGCAGUACAGGGACAUUAAUUAGUGAAAGGUCUGGAAAGCACAUCUGGAAGAUCAAGGAGCUGCUCCCACCUCAGUCCAGCAUUCAGGCAGCUCAGCUUAGCUUUGCUCUGAUAUAACACUGGAUGGGCCUGAGGCAGUGGCUACUCCUCUUUGAGGAGCUGAGGACUGAAACUGUUUGGUAUAAAUAACAGGUAUUAGAUGCUUCAAGGGAGACAAAACCAUGGAGGAAAGGCUGGAUCAGGGAUCCUGGCUGGAUCACAGAAGACUACCUGUCCAUCACAGGCACUGAUGCUCAGAAAUCUUGCUGGCAAAUGGACUCUUAUGCAACAGGUGAAGAUCCCAGUAGGUUUUUCAGAGCAUACAACUAAUUCAGAACAGCUGAUACCAUAGUGCCUAACAGCAGUAAAUAUUUCUCUAAUGGCUUUAUUACAGUAGGUUCCAUAUUGCUACGAAAGUCUGUCCAGUGGAAUCUUUCCUGCUGUAUGCCAAAACAUCCUGUGCUCCACUCAGAGGAGGCUGCAAAGGUUUUAGGGUGCCCUUCACUGGUGUUCAGAGGAGGGAAACAGCAACAGUGACUCUGCUUGCUCAGCCACUGGGGAAUUGUUCAUUGCUGUACAUCUCUUUUGACCAGAAAAUGACAGCAGAGAUCUCUGCUGUAUUUUGACAGAUUCAAAGCCCUUCAGAUUAGCUGUGAGUACAGGCAGAGAAAGACACCAGUGAUCAGAUAAUUGCAAACUGCUUAGGGAGUACAACUCAGUCCUGAACUGCUGCUGCUGCGCUGAUGAACGAAACCAGAGCCUGCACAUGUAUUUUUGCUUCUGUUUCUGCCUAUGGGAAGACCUGGCUCAGCUGUCAGGUUGUCACCAUCCUGCAGACUGGCCACAAGAACAUUUAGAUGGUCCCUGGAAAUCGGGCUGCAGGGCUCAACUGAUCCCUUCUAAUCCCAUGGCCAUGCCAGGUAGAGAUCCUGGAAGAAAAGGAGCCCACUGGAGAGUCUGAAUCUAGUGGGACACUCCAUUUUCUCUACAUGAGCAGAGGCUGCGACUUUGAAGAGGUCAGAGCAGGAUCAUCACUUCUGCCUGCAGCUGCUCAGGGAGAAAAAAAAAAAAAAAA